rnacentral:lncRNA from 1 species
GCGGGGUUGACAUCGAGAGUAAAAACGGUAAUCUUCACAAAAAAAAACAAACAAUGUCUGAUCGAAUAGUUACACAAUAGUUGAAUUCACGUAACUCUAGUAGAUGCUCCAUGGUCUUAUUGUGAUAUGUGACCUAAAGAUAUACUCCCUCCGUUUCACAAAGAAUGACCUCCUUUCCUUUUUAGUCUGUUUAAAAAAGAAUGACCUCUUUCCUUUUUUUGUAACAUUUUACUUUUUGCUUUCCACGUGGCAUGUUUAAGACCACAAGAUUAAGGGCAAUUUUGUACAUUUGACAUAACUUUAAUUUAGGACCACAAGAUUCAAAAGUCUUCUUUAUUUACUUAAACUCCGUGUUAAGUCAAACCAGGUAAUUCUUUGUGAAACGGA